rnacentral:rRNA from 1 species
CCUACGGGAGGCAGCAGUGGGGAAUAUUGCACAAUGGGGGAAACCCUGAUGCAGCGACGCCGCGUGAGCGAUGAAGUAUUUCGGUAUGUAAAGCUCUAUCAGCAGGGAAGAAAAUGACGGUACCUGACUAAGACGCCCCGGCUAACUACGUGCCAGCAGCAGCGGUAAUACGGAGGGGGCCAGCGUGCUCCGGAUUUACUGGGUGUAAAGGGAGCGUAGACGGCGGUGCAAGCCAGUUGUGAAAGCCCGGGGCUCAACCCCGGGACUGCAGUUGUAACUGUGAUGCUAGAGUGCCGGAGAGGCAGGCGGAAUUCCUAGUGUAGCGGUGAAAUGCGUAGAUAUUAGGAGGAACACCAGUGGCGAAGGCGGCCUGCUGGACGAUGACUGACGUUGAGGCUCGAAAGCGUGGGGAGCAAACAGGAUUAGAUACCCCAGUAGUC